UGUCAGUGCUGGAGUUCAUUGUCUCCAUAUGUGUGUCUGCGUUUGCCUGCAAAGCCACCUGCUCUUCUAACACUGAGAUGCCUUUCUUCCCAACCAGUGUGGUUCCUCCUGUUCAUGACUUCAGUGCUGAUGGCAAACAUGACUGUCUGCCCCCAGAAUACACCACUACCCAAGAGUCAUGUGACUCCAUCUAGAUUUACAGGGGAGGCUUUAUGUCUCAAGCAAAUGGUAACCUUGUGACUCUCUUUUGAAUAAUUUGUGUCUUCAAUACAUUCUUGAAGAGAUGCAUGCAAAUAAAGCAAUUCCUAUAUACUCACUCAAAUGUAUCUAUUAAAUCGAUACUCUAGUUAACUAGCAUGCUCCAAGUGACCUGCUUUGCAUUCCAGGGUCUCAAUCAAUCAAUUCAACUAUUGGAAAGCAUCCCAUUAGCCAUGAGAAUCCAUCCUAUAAAGUCACCAUUACAUAUAGGAAUGAUAUGAGCAAACACAUAGUGGAAAGUAUAAUAUGUAUGAAGGUUAUUGUUUCUCUCUGUAGUAUUGUAUUAUAUUGGCCCGCAUUAUUUAGACUUUUAAUAUAAUAUAUAGGCCCACAUUAUUUAGACUUUUAAUAUAUUAUUUAGGCCCACAUUAUUGAGACUUUGCUAAGAUGAAUAUGAAAAUGAUGGAUAAUGUUGCCUCUCUUGUCCGCAGCAUCAAAUUCUUGUCAUUGUAUUACGAUUGUGUACGUACUUUCAAUAAAAUAAUUACAUUAAA